UAUAGCGCCAAUUUCAACUAUACCGAAGUAAAAAUCAAAGGCGCUUAACAUUUAGAUGGUAAAAAGGUGCGUCUUAAGUUUUGUCUUAAAAAUAGCAACUGACGGUGAUUGGAUAAUAUGUUUGGGCAAUGAGUUCCAAAGGGAUGCUGCUGAAAAUGAAUAUGAUCUAGAACCAAAGGUUUUGGUGUUAAUCCUAGGAACAACUAAAAGAUUUUUAUCAGAAGAACGGAGACAAGUAGGUGGGGCAUACGCAUGAAUGAGUUCAACAAGGAAGAUCUAGAUGCUCUUAUUAAUUGGUGUAAUCAGUGGUCUAUGUCUGCCAAUGCCUCCAAAUGUAAAACUACGUCUAUUACUCUAAAGAAGAAACCUAUUAUGUAUAAUUUUGAUAUUAAUGCUGUAACACUUGGAAGAGUCACUGUUCACCAAGACUUUGUAUGGCGACACUCCAUUUCACGAAUUGUUGGAAAGUGACCAUGAAUACCAAGUUCACCUGGACGGAACCCACACCUUGUUACAUUCUGGAACUGUGGAGCUUGUUAACACAUUUCCAUAGCUCUACGUCACUUACAUAGGCCUAUAAACUUGGACUUCUACGCACUCUAAUAGACCCGUCUCAGGUCAAAUCUACCGAUCCAUCAAUAAGUGUGAAGUCGAUGUACAAUUAUCGUCAGCGGAACACGAUGUGUAUUAAAUUGCCGGAACACAAGAUGCUAUUAAUAGCCGGAUAUGGUCUUAAUUUUACAAAUAAUCGCGCGCGGGUGUCUAUUAGGAUUUAUAUCACUGGAUCGCCGGAAUUGAAUCAAAUUUGCCAAUUAUGUUUCUUAUACAACGAACAAUUAAUUCUCGAACGAUAUUACAUAGGCCUACUUCAAUAUAAUUAGGCCUAGCAUUAUAUAUAUAUAUUAUAUUAUAUUAUUUAAAUCUAUAAUCUAGUUAUAUUAGUUUAUAUAGUUCUUGUGUAACAUUUCCGAGUACGUAAGAAAUAAAAGUAAA